AUUGAACGCUGGCGGCAUGCCUUACACAUGCAAGUCGAACGGCAGCACGGGAGCAAUCCUGGUGGCGAGUGGCGAACGGGUGAGUAAUAUAUCGGAACGUGCCCAGUCGUGGGGAUAACGUAGCGAAAGCUACGCUAAUACCGCAUACGAUCUAUGGAUGAAAGCGGGGGAUCGCAAGACCUCGCGCGAUUGGAGCGGCCGAUAUCAGAUUAGGUAGUUGGUGAGGUAAAGGCUCACCAAGCCGACGAUCUGUAGCUGGUCUGAGAGGACGACCAGCCACACUGGGACUGAGACACGGCCCAGACUCCUACGGGAGGCAGCAGNGGGGAAUUUUGGACAAUGGGCGCAAGCCUGAUCCAGCAAAUGCCGCGUGCAGGAUGAA
rnacentral:rRNA from 1 species